rnacentral:rRNA from 1 species
CGCAGCCAGCUGCGAGAUUUGGUGUGAAUUGCAGGACACAUUGAGCACUGAUUUUUCGAACGCACAUUGCGGCCUCGGGUUCUGCCCGGGGCCCCGCCUGUCUGAGGGUCGGAUAAGACUUGCAGAGGAGAGUUCGCCUCUCCAAUUGGCCGCGUCGGAGCCCUUCCGAGGGCUUCGUCGGCUCAAGUAACGACAGGAUCCUCCCCGGUCGAGAGAGCACAAGCCCUAGCGCAUGCUCGUCGAUAGGAGAAGACGGAAAACGUUUCUCCGAGAGGACGAGACGGUUUGUCGCCGAGAAGACCUUCGAAAGGGGAGGAGAGACUACACGGCCCCUCGCCGGGCCGUGGCACAAUCUUAACUUUGACGACCUCAGAUCAGACGAGAUGACCCGCUGAAUUUAAGCAUAUC